rnacentral:rRNA from 1 species
GAUGAACGCUGGCGGCGUGCCUAAUACAUGCAAGUCGAGCGAACAGACGAGGAGCUUGCUCCUCUGACGUUAGCGGCGGACGGGUGAGUAACACGUGGAUAACCUACCUAUAAGACUGGGAUAACUUCGGGAAACCGGAGCUAAUACCGGAUAAUCUAUUGAACCGCAUGGUUCAAUAGUGAAAGACGGUUUUGCUGUCACUUAUCGAUGGAUCCGCGCCGCAUUAGCUAGUUGGUAAGGUAACGGCUUACCAAGGCGACGAUGCGUAGCCGACCUGAGAGGGGGAUCGGCCACACUGGAACUGAGACACGGUCCAGACUCCUACGGGAGGCAGCAGUAGGGAAUCUUCCGCAAUGGGCGAAAGCCUGACGGAGCAACGCCGCGUGAGUGAUGAAGGUCUUCGGAUCGUAAAACUCUGUUAUUAGGGAAGAACAAAUGUGUAAGUAACUAUGCACGUCUUGACGGUACCUAAUCAGAAAGCCACGGCUAACUACGUG